AGCGAACGCUGGCGGCAGGCCUAACACGUGCAAGUCGAACGAACCCUUCGGGGUUAGUGGCGGACGGGUGAGUAACACGUGGGAACGUGCCUUUAGGUUCGGAGUAACUCAGGGAAACUUGUGCUAAUACCGAAUGUGCCCUUCGGGGGAAAGAUUUAUCGCCUUUAGAGCGGCCCGCGUCUGAUUAGCUAGUUGGUGAGGUAAUGGCUCACCAAGGCUACGAUCAGUAGCUGGUCUGAGAGGAUGACCAGCCACAUUGGGACUGAGACACGGCCCAAACUCCUACGGGAGGCAGCAGUGGGGAAUCUUGCGCAAUGGGCGAAAGCUUGACGCAGCCACGCCGCGUGGAUGAUGAAGGUCUUAGGAUUGUAAAAUCCUUUCACCGGUGAAGAUAAUGACUGUAGCCGGAGAAGAAGCCCCGGCUAACUUCGUGCCAGCCGCCGCAGUAAUAC
rnacentral:rRNA from 1 species